rnacentral:rRNA from 1 species
UACAGAGAUCCCAAGCGUUGUUCGGAUUCACUGGGCGUAAAGGGUGCGUAGGCGGUCGGGUAAGUCUGACGUGAAAUCUUCAAGCUCAACUUGGAAACUGCGUCGGAUACUAUUCGGCUAGAGGAAUGGAGGGGAGACUGGAAUACUUGGUGUAGCAGUGAAAUGCGUAGAUAUCAAGUGGAACACCAGUGGCGAAGGCGAGUCUCUGGACAUUUCCUGACGCUGAGGCACGAAAGCCAGGGGAGCAAACGGG